GUAAGCAAUUAAUGAAUGAGUGACACCAUGAGCGCGUCAGGAGACGAGCGGUCUAUGAUCCGGGCUGAGGACUGUGAGAAUUAGGGGAAAGUUCACAGCACAGAGAAUGCCCACAUUAUGGGUUGGAGGUUUUUUUUUUUGCCAGACAACCCACAGUGACCACAGAGAAGGAGGCGCGUUAACCCUUUCCUGUCUAAGUGGGUGAAAGGUAACUGGGCGACUGCUGACGGUGCUGAGAGGGGAAGCUCGGUUCAAAGGGACCGCAGGCCUCUCACGUAUGCGUCUGGAAUGCGACAAACAUGCCUUUUUUCCCCCUCAAAGCCUCGGCACGGAGGGAUUUCCACCGGGACGCCGUGUUCUGGGGUGGUGGAGGAGCGGCGACUUGGCAGAGCAGACAGACGCCUGCUGAUCAUCGUGAACCUCUCAGAGCGACGGGAGUUUAAUGAACCCGGAGCUUCGGGCCUUCACUUCCUGACGUGUGGCCCGAAGCCGGCAUCUUAUCAGGUGAUAAUGAAUUUGUUCUAGGGCCUAAAAGCGGUUCGCACUGACAGGCAGAGCUGGAUGUGUAGCUGCUGAUAAACGGCUGAUAGCCAGAUACAAUAUGGAAAACCAGUUGUGCGCGAAAUCGCAGUUGGCAUGAUUCAUGCUGUUGUGGAAGAAACCCGGUUUUACUUGAUAUUGUAAUCAAACAGUCACCGACCCACGCUAGAUUAAACAGUCACCUUUAUAUUACUUCAGCAGUUGUUAUUGUCUUCGCUGAGGUCAUUCCAAUCCUCCCAAUUUCAGCAGAGACGCUUCACAUUCGCGGAGCUCUACUCCUCUGCAUCCUGUCAUUCCAGAGCCCAUCAUCACCGGAUCCGCACCACAGCUGCUUGUUCAAUUUCCCGAAAUGGCCGCAUCUAUAUACAGCACGCUGACCUUUUACCCAGAUUGUACACAGAACAUCUGUAAAUCAGGGCUGCAUUCAAACGCAGCCGAGUACCGUGACAUGGUAAAGAAAAAAAAAAAAAAAGGACUACAGGGUUUUAUAUUGAAUGAUUCUUCCAAUUGAGUACAUUUAUUACCUUAGAAGAUGCUUAUAAAUAAAGAAUUUGUCUCCCUACAGAUUCAUUUUAACGAUCAGAUCCAGGCAUUCAGUUUAACAUAUGAAAGCUGCGUCCUGAUGUGUUUCCUGCCGCUCGCAUUCCUCUCGGACUCGUAAAUCACCAGUCCUACGUCCUGAUGCCAUGAGACAUUCAUGAGCGGGCAUGUAUUGGCCAGGUUCAGCGCCGAGGCUCUGGGUGAGCCAACGGGGCUCAUGACUGCCUUGUGAUUGAGCAGCGGCGCCGGCGUCUGGACCUGGGAGAGGUGGGCGCAGAGCAGCGUCACAUUCUGGGGGAAAUAAGAGCGGCCGUGAUUUACGUUUUCGCUCGGAAUGUGUUCGGGAGAGAACCUGAUUUAUUGGCUGACACUUUCACUUAGCACGAGAAGCACAGGUGAUGCCGUUAAGAUGACUGAUGUCAGCCAGCGAGCGCGUUGCCUGAAGCCUGGUAAUGUGACGUUUAGUGCUGCCAUCACUCAUUACAUCUGUGCUUUUCCUGAUGAUGUACAAAUACCAUUAAUUAAUCAACCCGAUAUUUGUAAUAUGCCCAUUUGAAGGCAACCACAUGCUACAGAAGAUAUGUUUAUAUAUAGGACACACACACACACACACACACACACACACACACACACACACACACACACACACACACACACUCCACACAAAACCAGUUGUCAGCCAGGUGAAACCCUCUACCGCCCCCUAGUGGCGUAUAGUGGGCUCCUACCAUUGACCCCUGCUCGUUUAGUUGGUGUUUCACUGUUACAGCCCCAGGAACCGCACCGUCAGCGUGCCACAGAGACGUGAAAGGCAGCGCCUCCCGUAGCCUCCAGCGCACAGUCAAGGUGUGACCCCCACGUCCAGUCCGGCUCGGUCCAGCACAAACAGGCCCAGGGCGGAGGAGCACGCUGGGAGUGUGAGAGCCUUCCUGCAGGGUCCCUGACGGCUUGGACGGAUGCGUCCGCACGCAACGAGGGACUCAGUGAGUUCUCACACAAAUGCUGGACUUCUUACUUUUAAUGAGGCCAAAGCCUUCAAUAUUCAAAAUAUGACGAAAUUCAUUUAUCCCGAGGGGAAUUUGCUUUGGUACAAAAGAAAACCACACACUCUCACACAAGCACAGAUAUCUGACUCGCGUUAGGCUGAAACGUCUGAGCAACGCAGCUCUUUCUUCACUUAGAGGCUGUAAUGUGAAGGGGCGAAUGCUGCUCAUACCUGCUCUCUGCAGGUUUGUUUGCAUGAUUUACAGCCAUUUCCUUUUUCAGUCCUUACACCUCGUACUCUGGCUAUUCUCUCUACUAGAUGCACUGGACUAGCAGAUGUGAACUCACAUACAGAUGUCCCUAAUAACAUCUACUGGUCCUGCAUUGACAGAUAAAGGUAUUUUCCACAUAGUGAGACCACUUUGGGAAACAGGAACCCAGUUACCAGUCUGCAAAUAAACAAACGCUAUUGCGGUUUUACAAUGUUAUAAAAGAUGUGUUUAUUUAGUUUAUGUAACGGGGUCCCCUGCUGUGACCCUGCUAUACUGUUGACUGGAUUAAGAAUCUCAGUGGAGCCCGAGACCAAGGUCAAGGAUGAAUUCCACGCUGUAAAUAUUUCACGCACGUAUUUAGGUUGUCUGGGGACUGGCAGCUGUGCGUGCUCAGCGAGCUCCCCAGACCCCUUCUUCAACGUUUUAAGGGCCCAAAGCUCCAGAUGUGAUUCAUCACUGCUGUUUAUCCUUCCCAGAGUUAGAGGUUAGGACUUUGUCCCCAAAAAUGGAAUGUGGAACAUGGAACGUACCCCAGUUAUUCAGCCUGAUUCUCAUGAACUAAUUGGCCUUCUGUGGAACUUACGAGCCUGUGCCCCAGAGUGAGGAGCACUAAAGGGACCUAUAGGACGUAUAGUGGUGAGAGGAGGUGCCGUCCGGGCAGAUGGCGGAGAGACUACAGUAAGUAAGAGUGAGGCCUGUUGUGUGGAAGCUGUGGGUGCUGGCAGACGGCCUCUCGCUGUGUGAGGCAGAUGGGGAAAAGAAAAAGGAACGAAGGCUUGAAUCACAAAGUGUUCUCUUAGAACAGCAGGGCCUCCGCCCUCUCACUGCAGCAGCUGCGUCUGCAGAAACGAGACACAGGCGGCGCGUCUCGUGUUUGUGCUGCAGAAAUAGCAAGCGUCGGAAACCUGGAAAUGGGGAGACGGUCGGCGUGGCUCAGUUCAGAGGCUGCUUGAAGCGCGUCAGAAGGCGCUGAGCCAAUGAUGCUGGUUUUAAAUCUAUUAUAAACGUUCCUCACGGCACACAUCCACAGGAAAAACGUCCAGCGUCUUUGUAUUUUCAGUUCACUAAUGAGUAGAAGCAGGCCAGGAAUCCAAGCCUGUGGCGAUUACCAGCCAAAAUAGCUUGUUAUGAUAUUUUAUGACCAUUAACAGCCACAUUGGGCUCGAUGACUAUGACUUAGCAGAACAGAACCAAGACAGAGGUAUAUUCAUACAUGCAGAACGUCUGAAGAUACAACAUCAGCAGUCACAGGUCUAACGCACCCCAGCCUUAAAACCUCAACAUUUGCCACAAAGGUUCAAACCCUGCUUCCUCCCAUGUUGUUGAUUCUUCCAACACAGGCUCCCGUCGUUUCACCGGAUCUUAACAUGUGAAGUGCACCUGCAGCUUGUGCUGUGACAUUGUCUCAUGUCGUAUGCAUCGCAGGGAACAGAGCCCUACAAAAACAAAUGGAUGCCUUGUUUUUCUGACCUUCGCACAGUGAAGUCCCCCUUUUGUGCUUUAGCUUAUAGAAAGUGGUGCUGUCGUCAUCAUCACGCUGCCCGUCUCAUGCUACAUGAAAGUGUUUAGUGGUUGCAGCAAAGAGAGGUUCAGAGAGAAGGUUGAUUGGUGGACAGGGCCUGUCUCUGAACAGAAUAAUGGGAGCUUCACAGAGACAUUGUAUGUAGAGGCCGGGUGCACUGAAGUUCAGAGACCACGUGGAAAAAAGCCAGCGGGCCGCGUGAAAACGAGGGAAUGUCUUCCAGUUACCUCUGGGGUGACUGUCCUGUUUUCCUUGUCUCCGUUUGUCCUGUGGGCCCCAUUUUCAGAUUUGUGAGCCGUGACCCGGGUUGUAGCCCGUUUUCCGAGCGCGUUAAUGAGAGGCCUCGCUCACCCCGGAGACUCGGCGACCUCGGCGCCACACAUCCUGUUGGCCAGCGUGAGACGCACAAGGCCUGAAGGUUUCAUGCCAAGCUUCUCAGCUCCAACGAGCCCUGUGACACCGACACAAGUUAAACUGAGAACAGAAACAGCAGAAUUUAGUUAAAAUUGAGUUUUGCAGUCACAUAUUAUUAUGAUUAUUACUUCUAUGUAAGUACAAAAAAGGACGACCUAAAACAGAAGGCCAGUUAAAUAUGUUCUAAAAGCAUAAUGUAUGAACAGAAACAACAAAUCUGAAUUAUACUGUACAUUUGUCUAUACAGUGUGUAUCAGGUCUAAUCAUUUUCCCCUUUUGGAAGCAAUUAAACGGUUUACGUUUGUUUUUGAUUUCAUAAAGCAAUCGAAAGUUGCAGUUUAGAUUUUAACUGUAUAAAAUUGAACUUUUAUUUGGGUGGCGGUUCUUGCUCAAAAUAUGCUAUAAUAAAACAUUUACUCUGUGGUCUCACACGCCCACUUUGGGCCUCAAAACUAAGAACUAAGAAAAAUAAAGUCUUUAGCAACUGGUUGUUGUUUCCAGAGACCUCAAAUGCUCCUCUGACCAUCUGGAUAAAAACAUAUUCCAAGUGCUGUAAUAAAAGUAGCCUUGAUCCAUGUCCCAAAUUUCGACAAUUUCUUUCUUUCCCCUAAACAAAAACACAUUGAACAAACAUGGGUCAGCUUUAAAGUCUGCUGAAGUGUAGUGACACAACUGGAUACAAGAACACGAACCCUGACAACCCCAACCACUGCAUCACCGCUAACCAAAUAAUCAAAACAUUAGACCACAAUAAAAAUUAAUUAUAGAAGAAAUAAAAAAAUUACAUGAGCGUCAUUAGAAACACUUGAGAAACAAACCAAAGGUCAAAACUGGAUUUGGGUCUAGUUACAAAUGUCCCAUCUGGCCUUGAGGUAGAUUUGCUUCCAACUUGGCAUGUGUCUAUGUCAGAGAGGGAAGCACAUGCCAGUCAAAGGCCUGGAUGUGUGAGAAGCAGAGGUGGAGGCAGAGGGAGUGGAACCAUGACAGCCUUGAGGAUAAGAGGGUGAAGCCUGCUACGUCCUGUAGAGCACCGCCGCCGUGCUUUCUUUCAGAUUUGGUUUCACUGUAGGCAGUGAUUCUUGUCAAUGUGCUGAUGCAAAACGACACAUGACUUUGACCACAGCGGAGCAGAUGUUUCCUGUGCUGGGUCAGUAACAUCUAGGUAGAACCUUCCAGGCCCGACCGAAACCUCAGGUUUUACCACUGGUCUUCAGCGGGUUUGACAUGUUCAGGCGCUGCAGCGACCGUUCCUUUGACUUUGAACGUGUGACCUGUGUUUUCAUCAGUGUCUGUGGGAACAUUCAUUCACCCAGAUUUUUUUUUGUUUGUGAAAGGCAACUAUCUCUCACAGGCUUAAAUUCACAAAGAUGCAAUAAAACGUGUCUCUCAAUAAACCUCUGCUCAGUUCAGCUGCUUGUGUGUUGAGCUUUAUACAUAGCUUUAUAUAUUCUGUUGAUUGCAAAAAUUGUAAGGUGGUUCAGCGGUGUCAUGUGCAGCUCUGCAGCCUUGACGUUUAAGUCUGACUGGUUUCGCAGAAGCCUGUCACUGUCUGAUUGUCUCUCAUUGUGGCUCGCAUACAAGUGGCAGCAUGCUCUUCUUGGUCUGGCUCAUCCUACUUCAAUUUAAUGAUGGGCUGCCAGGACUUAAUUUGUUUUCAUCUUUCCUGCUACAUGUUGAUGCCCUUUUGAAGCUGCAACAAUUUGCCAGUGUUUAUAAAAUCAAAGAAAAUGUAGCCACAAUGUUUAUGCUCAAUAAGCUGCAAAAUGCAAACUGGCCCUUCUAUGUUUUGCAUACUUGAAUAUUGCAAUGUCAAAUAUUUCCUGUUUCUGUCUCCAUCUUUAAAUGUUUUCUAUUUUUCAUAAUUUCUGUAUUAUUGUUCCUGCCUCUAAAUGGUCAUGAUGUAUCCAAGUCAAAGCAAACCUUACUUAAACUUUAGCGGCACAAACGAGACAACAGAAAAUGUAGAUUAGGCUGUAUUUCCAUUGUAUUAGACAGCAAAACAUGCCUGUGUAUAAAUAGUGGACACAC